rnacentral:rRNA from 1 species
CCAAUAGCGUAUAUUAAAGUUGUUGCAGUUAAAAAGCUCGUAGUUGAAUUUCGGGGUUAGUAGGUUGGUCAUGCCUCUGGGAUGUACUGAUCUCACUGAUUCCUCCUUCCUUAUGAACCGUAAUGCCAUUAAUUUGGUGUUGCGGGGAAUUUGGACUGUUACUUUGAAAAAAUUAGAGUGUUUAAAGCAGGCUAACGCUUGAAUACAUUAGCAUGGAAUAAUGAAAUAGGACGUUCGAUCUUAUUUUGUUGGUUUCUAGGAUUGACGUAAUGAUUAAUAGGGAUAGUUUGGGGCAUUAGUAUUCAAUUGUCAGAGGUGAAAUUCUUGGAUUUAUUUAAGACUAACUACUGCGAAAGCAUUUGCCAAGGAUGUUUUCAUUAAUCAAGAACGAAAGUUAGGGGAUCGAAGACGAUCAGAUACCGUCGUAGUCUUAACCAUAAACUAUGCCGACUAGGGAUCGGAUGAUGUUAAUUCUUUUAAUGACUCAUUCGGCGCCUUACG